rnacentral:rRNA from 1 species
GAUGAACGCUGGCGGCGUGCCUAAUACAUGCAAGUCGAGCGAACAGACGAGGAGCUUGCUCCUCUGACGUUAGCGGCGGACGGGUGAGUAACACGUGGAUAACCUACCUAUAAGACUGGGAUAACUUCGGGAAACCGGAGCUAAUACCGGAUAAUAUAUUGAACCGCAUGGUUCAAUAGUGAAAGACGGUUUUGCUGUCACUUAUAGAUGGAUCCGCGCCGCAUUAGCUAGUUGGUAAGGUAACGGCUUACCAAGGCGACGAUGCGUAGCCGACCUGAGAGGGGGUACCGCCACACUGGAACCUGAGCCCGGGCCAAACUCCCUCCGGGAGGCACAAUAAGGGAACCUCCCCAAAUGGCCGAAACCUUGCGGGGCAACGCCCCCGUGAGUGAUAAGGUCCUCCGGUCCUUAAACUCUUUUUAUUGGGAAAGACAAAAUUUUAAGUAACUAUGCACGUCUUGGCCGGACCUAAUCAAAAAAGCACCGCUAACUUCGUG